rnacentral:rRNA from 1 species
GACGAACGCUGGCGGCGUGCUUAACACAUGCAAGUCGAACGGUAAGGCCCUUCGGGGUACACGAGUGGCGAACGGGUGAGUAACACGUGGGUGAUCUGCCCUGCACUUCGGGAUAAGCCUGGGAAACUGGGUCUAAUACCGGAUAGGACUCCUGGCUUCAUGGUUGGGGGUGGAAAGCUUUUGCGGUGUGGGAUGGGCCCGCGGCCUAUCAGCUUGUUGGUGGGGUGAUGGCCUACCAAGGCGACGACGGGUAGCCGGCCUGAGAGGGUGACCGGCCACACUGGGACUGAGAUACGGCCCAGACUCCUACGGGAGGCAGCAGUGGGGAAUAUUGCACAAUGGGCGCAAGCCUGAUGCAGCGACGCCGCGUGAGGGAUGACGGCCUUCGGGUUGUAAACCUCUUUCAGCUAUGACGAAGCGCAAGUGACGGUAGUAGCAGAAGAAGGACCGGCCAACUACGUGCCAGCCGCCGCGGUAA